UGCUUCACACCAAAACCCUAGCCUCCCUCUUCCUUUCGCUUGAAGCUUCUACCAUAAGGAUCAAUUAGAUGUUGAUCAAUCAGUACAGAAAUGAAUGUGAUUCGACUAAAGGAAGAUGGUGACGUUGGUUGUGGCCUGAAGAGAAAUGACGACGAAGAAUGGUUGAUUUAGGGUUCUUCAGUUCGGGUAAUGUGAUGGAUGAUUUCGGGAUUCUGAAACCGAAGAUGGUGAUGGUGGCCUGAAAAGGAACGAUGACAACGGCAUGGGUUGAUUUAGUGUUUCUCAAGUGGUGGUCUUAUGAUGGUUGUUGUUUAACGCAACGACGGAAGGGCGGCGGCUAGGGUUCCACCACAUAACUUUGACCAGUUGUAGUUUCGGCCGGUUAUCGGUAGAUCAACCAGGAAUGAUAUGGUACGAGUUAUGCGAUUUGUUUGGAAUGUACAUGAUAGAUGAAACAAGUUAUGGACCAAAUCAUGUUGCUCUUGCUGAUAAAGACAUAUGAUGGAAUACAUUGUCCUUUUCCCUAACGAUAUCGAAAUGGGUUUGAAGUUUUAUGUAACUAAACCCCUGAAUAUUUCUCAAUAACCUUUCAUUUGAGAGGUCCAAGGUUAUGUUAAAUAUCUUACGGGUCAAACGAGUAUUAUAAUAAACAUGUCAAUGAGCCAAGUAUGUGAAACAUGUAAAAAUUUUCUUAAUUCGCUAUGAUCAGUUUUUAGCUUUCUGUUUUUGAGGUCUACAAAAA
rnacentral:lncRNA from 1 species